rnacentral:pre_miRNA from 1 species
AUUGCCUAGGUAUUUGUUAAAAUGCAGAUUCUGAUUAAUUAGAUCUGGAAUGGGACCUGAGAUUCUGCAUUUCUAACAAGUUUCCAAGUGAUAACAA